CGUUGAAACCCUUGCUCUCGUAUGAUCACCGAAGUUAAGCAAAGUUGAGCCUGGUAAGUACUUAGAUGGGUGACCGCUUGGCAAUACCAGGGGCUGUAA